CAGGCUGGUCUCGAACUCCUGGGCUCAAUCGAUCUUCCCUCCCACCUUGGCCUCCCAAAGUGCUGGUAUUACAGGAGUGAGACAUGGCGCCCAGCCCAUUGGAGGAUUUUUUUUUUGAGACGGAGUCUCGCUGUGUCACCCAGGCUGGAGUGCAGUGGCACGAUCUCAGCUCACUGCAACCUCUGCCUCAUUGGAGGAUUUUAAGCACGGGAAUAACAAGUCUUGUUUGCGCUUUAGAAAGAUCUCCCUAAGUGCAGUGUGUGGGAUAAACUGCAGGGGGUGAGAUGGAGACAAGCCUGGAGGCAGAAAUCAGGUAGUUCAUUAGGAUAGGCUGGGCUAGGGAUGAAGGUGGCUUGGUCGAGGGCUGUAACCGUGAAAUGGGAAUAAGUGGGCCUAGGUCUAUUUUGCAGGCAGCGCUGUCAGGAUGAUGGAGUGAGGGAAAAAGAAAUCACAAUAAUUUCUUAGUGUUUUAGCCUACACAGCUGGGCGAAUGGGGAGCGACAUCUAUUUAUGAUAGGAGACCUUGGGAAGGACUGGAUUUGAGGGGGUGGUGGAGGGAAAUUCGAGCCUGCUUUUGGCUGGGAGAUGCUCAUUAGGCAUCCAAGAGGAGGCGUGAGGUAGUUAAAUAUGUGAAUCUGAGUCCCAGGGAGAAGUCUCGGCGGGAGAUUAAGUCUUGAGAUUCAUCAGACCAGAGAUGGUCUGUGAAGCCGCAGAUCAGGAUGACAGCCACUAUGGGAAUGAACAAAGAUGAAGACCGGAGACCCCAAGACAGACCUCCGGGGCAGCCAUCACUGAGAGAGGGCGGAGGAGGAGGGGGAAGUGAAGGCUCCUGAGGAGAAGGCCAUGUGGAGGAGGGAAACCAGGGGAAGGUGGAGUCGGAGACAUUGGAAGAACAGGUAAGGAGGCCAUGGCCAAGCGUGUCAAAUGCCACUGAGAGAUAGGCAGGGGAAGGGACCUUUGGCCUUGGUGACAUGUAGGUCACUGAUGAUCUGGACUAGAGUCAUCUCCUGUAACGGUGGGGACAAACGGCUGCUUGGAGCAGCACAGAAUGAAAGUGGGGAGGGGGGAGGUGGAACAGCAGAUGCCAGAAGGGCUGGGGGCCUCCAGGGAGAGUUUCUAAAGGAGGAAGGGUGGGCAUGUUAUAAGCGGAUGAUAAUGAUCCGGGAAGGGGAGAAAGGCUCUGCAGAGACAACUGCAGGGCCAGGCCCUAAGGAGCAGGAGGGCUGGGGCCCAGUGCAGGCUGGAGGAGCACGAUGCAGCUUCCACUGUGCUCUGGCGGGGGAAGGGGGCACGCGUGGAUACUGGGUGGCAAGUGUGGGGCAUGGAGGUGAGGUGUGCUGGUGUGGGUGCAUCCUUUCUUUCUCUGAAGCGUGUGGUGGCAUUGCCAGCUGAAAUUGAGGUUGGGGGUGUGGGAGAUUUGAAAUGAGUCAUUUCAAGAGCGGGGAAGUGAAGCUGUGAAAGCACAUUGGAGGAACCGAGGGCCUGCGCGAAACGUGUGGUUUUGAUUUGGAAAUGAGUCUAGUCACACAGGGGUGCUGGUUCUUGAGCCAUAGUUGGAUCCAACUGGAGUUUGGAGUUUGGAGUUUCUCUGGGUGAGCACAGUGAAUGGGGAAAAGGGGUAAAGGAUGCAGGGUAGUGACUGUAAGGAUGGUUUAAGGACAUGGUGAUGGCGCUGCCAACAGGCAAAGACUGCUGGUUCAGAGGGCUGGGUGGGCUCAGAGAAUUGCUGGCAUGGUGUGGUGGUGACAUAGGACCUACCUGAGCUGGAAGUACAGGAGGUGAUGUUCAGAGUGGGAGGCUUGAGGUGAUCAGAGCUGACAAGAUAAGGUAUGUCCACUUGAGACUGUGGCCAAGGUAGAGUGGAGGAAAGCCUGUUGGUGUUAAGGAGCUUCUCUGAAUAUUCUUACUUGGCCCUUCCCAACUUUGUUUUUUGUUUGUUUGUUUAUUUGUUUUGAGACGGAGUCUCGCUCUGUCACCCAGGCUGGAGUACAGUGGCGUGAUCUCAGCUCACUGCAACCUCCGCCACCCAGGUUCAAGCGAUUCUCGUGCCUUACCCUCCCAAGUAGCUGGGAUUACAGGUGCCCACCACCACGCCCAGCUAAUUUUUGUGCUUUUAGUAGACAGGAUUUCACCAUGUUGGCCAGGCUGGUCUCGAAUUCCUGACCUCAAGUGAUUUACCCACCUCAGCCUCUCAAAGUGCUGGGAUUACAGGCAUGAGCUACCGUGUUGGGCCCCUUCCCAACUUUGGAUUCAGAGCUACGUCCUACCAGAGCCAGAAGGGGCCACGCUCUUCACUGUACAGAUGGGCACACCAACGCCUGGAGAUGUUGGAUGCAGAAGGCGAAAUGUCAGAAGCUGGAGUCCUGCAUCUCAGCUGGAAGGUGAGGGCUGAUAAUUUAUCAGUUGCCAUUGAUCAAAGUUCACAAGGCAAAUCUUCAUAAACUUCUAAAGCUGCCUACAGUUUCCCGUAAACAAAUCUCUAAAUUUACAAAAGCAAUGCUUGCUGAUUGUAAAAAACACACAGUGCCAAAGCAUACAAAGGAAGAAGACCCGCUUGCAAUUUGCUACCUACAUCCCACUCUUGGGGCCAACAACUAUUGGAAGUGUGGUGAGUGAUUGACUUACAUCCUUCUAGA
rnacentral:lncRNA from 10 species